GGCUAUGUAGCUCAGUGGUAGAGCGGGGCCCUCAUAAAGCCUAGGUCGCAGGUUCGAAUCCUGCCGUAGCCACCA
rnacentral:tRNA from 1 species